rnacentral:snoRNA from 1 species
UCCCUCUCAGGGUCGCAGCUGGAGAAUUUCCAGUACUUUACCAAUUUCAACUACGGGAGGGAGAGUCGAGCAGAGGCCUAUCCAUUCCAUUCCUAGCUUGAGCAGUGGCUAGCGAGUGGAAGGCCAUCUGCUACAAGU